UGCAGCUAUUGUGAAUGUGGUUGAGUUCUUGAUUUGAUUUUCAGCUUGGUCUCUGUUGGUGUAUAACAGAACUACUGAUUUCUGUACACUGAUUUUGUAACCUGAGACUUUACUGAAUUUUUUAAUCAAAUUGAAGGGUGUUUGGGUGGAAUCUAGAAUUUUCUAGAUAUAUUAUUACAUCAUCAGCAAACAGUGGAAGUCUGUCUUCCUCUUUACUGAUUUGGAUGCCCUUUAUUUCUGUUGUCUGAUUGCUAUGGCUAGAACUUUCAGUACUGUAUUGAACAGAAGAGGUAAAAGUGGAUAUUCUUGCCUUUUUCCAGUUCUCAGGGUUAAUGCUUUAAACUUUUCCCCAUUCAGUAUGAUGUUAGCUGUGGGUUUGUUGUAGAUGGCUUUUAUUACCUUAAGGUAUGUCUCUUCUAUGUCGAUUUUCCUGAGGGUUUUAAUCAUAAAAGAUACUGAGUUUUGUCAUAUGCUUUUUCUACAUCUAUUGAGAUAAUCUUUUGAUUUUUGUUUUUAAUUCUGUUUAUGUGGUGUAUCACAUUUGUUUACUUGUGUAUGUUAAAACAUCCCGACAACCCUGGUAUAAAAUCUACCUGAUCAUGCUGAAUUAUCUUUUCGAUAUGCUGUUGGAUUCUGUUCGCUAGUAUUUUGUUGAGGAUAUUGGCAUCUACAUUCAUCAGGGAUAUUGUUCUGUAGUUUUCUUUUUUUCUUAUGUCCUUCCCUGGUUUCGGUAUUAGGGUGAUACUGGUUUCAUAAAAAGAUUUAGGGAGGAUUUCCUAUUUUUUGUCUUUUGGAAUAGUGUCAAUAGGAUUGGUACCAAAUCUUUUUUGAACGUCUUAUACAAUUUAGCUGUGAAUCCAUCUGGUCCUGGAUAUUUUUGUUGUUGUUGGCAAUUUUUAUUUUUUUAUUUUUAUUAUUAUUAUUAUUAUUAUUAUACUUUAAGUUCUAGGGUACAUGUGCAUAACGUGCAGGUUUGUUACAUAUGUAUACUUGUGCCAUGUUGGUGUGCUGCACCCAUCAACUCGUCAGCACCCAUCAACUCGUCAUUUACAUCAGGUAUAACUCCCAAUGCAAUCCCUCCCUCCUCCCCCCUCCCCAUGAUAGGCCCCGGUGCCUCUUGACAUAUUUAAAUAUGUCACUCUCUCUUGGCCUGUAUGGUUUCCAUUGAAAAGUCCGCUGCCAGGCAUAUUUCAGACCCAGUGUAUGUUGUUGGUUUGUUGUUUUUCUGGCUGAUUUUAUAACUCUUUAUUUAUAAUUAGUCUUUUGGAGUUUAAUUAUGAAAUGCCUAGAGUCAGUCUUCUUUGGGUUAAAUCUACUUGGUGUUCUAUAACCUUCUUGUACUUGGAUUGUGGUAUUUUUCUCUAGGUUUGGGAAAUUCUUUGUCAUUAUCUUUUUGAAUAAACAUUCUAGCCCUUUCUCUUUCUCUAUAUAUUCUCUUUAAUGCCAACAACCUUUAGAUUUGCUUUCUUGAGGCUAUUUUCCAGAUCCUGUACGUGUACUUUAUUUUUAAAACUUUUUUCUUUUGUCUCCUCUGACUAUGAAUUUUCAAAUGGCCUGAUUCAUGCUCAGUAUUUCUACUGUUAAAAGAUUCUGAUACUUUCUUCAGUAUGUCAAUUGCAUUUUUAACUUUAGAAUUUCUACUUGAUUCUGUUUAAUUAUUUCAACCUUUUUGUUAAAUUUAUCUGAUAUAAUUUUGAAUUCCUUCUCUGUGUUAUCUUGACUUUUUUUUCCAUCUGGCCAUCACAGCUAUUUUGAAUUCUCUGCCUAAAUGGUCACAUAUCUCUGUUUUUCCAGGAUUGGCUUCUUGUACUUUAUUUGGUUCAUUUUUUGAGAUCACAUUUUUCUGGGUGGUGUUGAUGUUGGUAGAUGUUCUUUGGUGUCUGGGCAUUGAAGAACUAGGUAUUUAUUGUAGUCUUCACUGUUUGGGCUUGUUUGUGCCCAUCCUUCUUGGGAAGACUUUCCAGAUAUUUGAAAUGACUUGGAUGUUGUGAUCUGAGCUGUAUCUACUUUAAGAAGCAUCCAAAGCAGAGUAAUGCUGUGGUUCUUGAGAACUCAUAGAACUACCACCUUGAUGGUUUUAGACAAGAUCUGGUAAAAUUCUCUUGAUUACCAAGUAGGAACUCUUGUUCUUUUCUUUCACUUUCUCCCAAACAAAUUGAAUCUCUCUCUGUUCUGAGCCACCUGAAGCUAGGGAUGGAGUGACACAAGUAACCCUGUGGCCACCACUACUAGGACUGUACUGGGUCAGACAUGAAGCCAACACAGCA
rnacentral:lncRNA from 1 species